rnacentral:rRNA from 1 species
GUACACGCUGUGACUAGCAUAUCAAUAAGCGGAGGAAAAGAAACUAACAAGGAUUCCCCUAGUAACGGCGAGUGAAGCGGGAAGAGCUCAAAUUUGAAAUCUUAAAGGGUUUCCCUUUACGAAUUGUAGUUUAAAGAAGUGUUUUCUGUUGAGGUUUUGGUAAAAGUUCUUUGGAAUAGGACAUAAUAGAGGGUGAGAAUCCCGUAUUUGACCUUUACUUUCAACUUUGUGAUACACUUUCAAAGAGUCGGAUUGUUUGGGAAUGCAGUCCAAAAUGGGUGGUAAAUUUCAUCUAAAGCUAAAUAUUGGCGAGAGACCGAUAGCGAACAAGUACCGUGAGGGAAAGAUGAAAAGAACUUUGAAAAGAGAGUUAAACAGUACGUGAAAUUGUCAAAAGGGAAGCGUUUGACACCAGUGUUGUUUUUCUGAAAAUCAAUUAAAGAACUGUUUAUGCUAAGCUGUUUAGACUUUAUCAGCUAAUCUGUUUAGUUUUGAGCUUUUCUUUAAUGCACUUUUCAGUUAACAAGUCAACAUCAAUUUCUUUUGCUGUAAAGAGCUUGAGGAAGGUGGCUUGAGAUUCGUCUUAAGUGUUUAUAGCCUCUUGCCUAUGCAGUCGGAGAGAUUGAGGUCUGCAGCGUAGAUCCUUCGGGGCUAAAUGCAUUUGUGCUAAGUUAUAGCAUUUUAUAGACAACUUGUUGACUAUGAUUUGUCUUGUAGCUUACUCGCUUAUGUUAUUUUACCUACGCUUAGGAUGUUGAAGUCAUCGUAUCGCGC